ACGUAGCAAUACGUUAGCGGCGGACGGGUGAGUAACGCGUGGAUAACCUGCCUUGCACUGGGGGAUAACACUUAGAAAUAGGUGCUAAUACCGCAUAAGCGCACGGAGCCGCAUGGCUCAGUGUGAAAAACUCCGGUGGUGUAAGAUGGAUCCGCGUCUGAUUAGCUGGUUGGCGGGGUAGAAGCCCACCAAGGCGACGAUCAGUAGCCGGCCUGAGAGGGUGAACGGCCACAUUGGGACUGAGACACGGCCCAAACUCCUACGGGAGGCAGCAGUGGGGAAUAUUGCACAAUGGGGGAAACCCUGAUGCAGCAACGCCGCGUGAGUGAAGAAGUCAUUCGUGAUGUAAAGCUCUAUCAGCAGGGAAGAAAAUGACGGUACCUGAGUAAGAAGCCCCGGCUAACUACGUGCCAGCAGCCGCGGUAAUACGUAGGGGGCAAGCGUUAUCCGGAUUUACUGGGUGUAAAGGGAGCGUAGACGGCCAGACAAGUCUGAAGUGAAAAUCCAGCGCUUAACGUUGGAAGUGCUUUGGAAACUGCCGGGCUAGAGUGCAGGAGGGGCAGGCGGAAUUCCUAGUGUAGCGGUGAAAUGCGUAGAUAUUAGGAGGAACACCAGUGGCGAAGGCGGCCUGCUGGACUGCAACUGACGUUGAGGCUCGAAGGCGUGGGGAGCAAACAGGAUUAGAUACCCUGGUAGUCCACGCGGUAAACGAUGAUUACUAGGUGUCGGGGGGCUAGAGCCCUUCGGUGCCGUCGCAAACGCAAUAAGUAAUCCACCUGGGGAGUACGUUCGCAAGAAUGAAACUC
rnacentral:rRNA from 1 species